GACCCCUACCAUGGAGGAGACCAUCAAAGAUCCCCCCACAUCGGCUGUCUUGCUGGAUCACUGUCAUUUCUCUCAGGUCAUCUUUAACAGUGUGGAGAAGUUCUACAUCCCUGGAGGGGACGUCACAUGUCAUUAUACCUUCACCCAGCAUUUCAUCCCUCGUCGAAAGGAUUGGAUUGGCAUCUUUAGAGUGGGGUGGAAGACAACCCGUGAGUAUUACACCUUCAUGUGGGUUACUUUGCCCAUUGACCUAAACAACAAAUCAGCUAAACAGCAGGAAGUCCAAUUCAAAGGUGAGAAAAAUACUGGAUCAAAGGUGUUGAAGACAGUAGCCAAGACUAAUUAAUUCCCUUCAGCUUGAGCUUUCUGGGGCAGAUAAAAAGACUUCCAGAAUUUUACUUUUCUGAAUAGAUCUUAUUUUGGAUGAAAAAUUAUGUUGUGUUUUCAGCUUACUACCUGCCCAAGGAUGAUGAGUAUUACCAGUUCUGCUAUGUGGAUGAGGAUGGUGUGGUCCGGGGAGCAAGUAUUCCUUUCCAAUUCCGUCCAGAAAAUGAGGAAGACAUCCUGGUUGUUACCACUCAGGUUUGUAAAACUUCUCACCUCAAUCCCUUACUGCCAUUACGAGUAGCAAUAUAGGAUAGGAUGGAAUUUGAGUUAAUAAGGCUUUAUUGAAUAUCUAACGGGUAUCA
rnacentral:sRNA from 1 species